CAUGUUGGGGACUUAUUUGGUGCCACAUUUUUGGGGCCACAUUGCUGGGGACUUAUUUGGUGCCCCCCAAUUGUCGCCUCCCCUCUUGGUAUCACCUGUUGGUGACUUAUUUGCUGCCCCCCUGUUGGUGCCACCCUGCUGGUGACACAUUUGGUGCCCCCCUAUUCGUAUCACCCUGUUGGUGACACAUUUGGUGCCCCCUUAUUGGUGUCACAUUCUUGGUGACUUAUUUGAUGCCCCUCUGUUGGUGCCACAUUGCUGGGGACAUAUUUGGUGCCCCUCUUUUGGUAUCACCCUGUUGGUGACACAUUUGGUGCCCCCCACCCCAUUGGAGCCACAUUGUUGGUGACUUAUUUGGUGCCCCUCUGUUGGUGCCACAUUGCUGGGGACUUAUUUGGUGCCACCCUCCUGGUAUCACUGUGUUGGUGACUUAUUUGGUGCCACAUUUUUGGGGCCACAUUGCUGGGGACAUAUUUGGUGCCCCUCUUUUGGUAUCACCCCGUUGGUGACAUAUUUGCUGCCCCCCCCGCCCCCGUUGGUGCCUCAUUGCUGGGGACUUAUUUGGCGCCCCUCUGUUGGUGCCACAUUCCUGGUGACAUUCCUGGUGACAUUCCUGGUGACAUUCCUGGUGCCAUUCCUGGUGCCUGCCAUUUCCGGCGCCAUUUCCGGCGCCAUUUCCGGUGCCGUUCCUGGGUGUCGCUCCCAGCUGUGCCAUCAGAGCCCAAUGGGGCUGAAUGGGGGCCCCCUAUGGGACCGGGUUUUUUUUUUGGGGGGGGUGGGGGACCCCUUG
rnacentral:lncRNA from 1 species